AAAACGGCCCUUAUCAGGGCCACUGUAUAGCUUCUUUUAAGAACAUG
rfam:Anopheles epiroticus strain epiroticus2 unplaced genomic scaffold supercont1.10, whole genome shotgun sequence.